ACACUCCUGCGGGAGGCAGCAGUGGGGAAUUUUGGACAAUGGGCGAAAGCCUGAUCCAGCAAUGCCGCGUGAGUGAAGAAGGCCUUCGGGUUGUAAAGCUCUUUUGUCAGGGAAGAAACGGUGAAAGCUAAUAUCUUUUGCUAAUGACGGUACCUGAAGAAUAAGCACCGGCUAACUACGUGCCAGCAGCCGCGGUAAUACGUAGGGUGCAAGCGUUAAUCGGAAUUACUGGGCGUAAAGCGUGCGCAGGCGGUUUUGUAAGUCUGAUGUGAAAUCCCCGGGCUCAACCUGGGAAUUGCAUUGGAGACUGCAAGGCUAGAAUCUGGCAGAGGGGGGUAGAAUUCCACGUGUAGCAGUGAAAUGCGUAGAUAUGUGGAGGAACACCGAUGGCGAAGGCAGCCCCCUGGGUCAAGAUUGACGCUCAUGCACGAAAUCGUGGGGAGCAAACAGGAUUAGAAACCCGAGUAGUCCCAUGA
rnacentral:rRNA from 1 species